GCCAAAGUUUGUCAUGUUUGCUUGCAAGAUACUAGCAUGCUAAAGAUCGUGGCGAACCCGACCUUAUCGGUGUUUUCAGAAUGUGCUUUUUCGACCUUAAAGCUGGUACGCUUGCCUCAAUGUUAGAGAGGAAACAGUGCAGGCAGUGCAAGACUUGUCCUUGGUACUUAAUUAUCAUUGAAUCAGGGCUGAACUCAUAAAUAUUUGUAAGAAAAAUGAUGUUUUGACAGGUGGCCGAAGUAUAUACACGACAGCUCUCCAAACAGUUAGAUGAUACACGAAGAACGUGUAUAUGAGAAACGUGUGUGUACUAGUCGACUUCUCAUUUAAGACCAAUUUCACCAACUGCUACCUGCUGCCUAUAUUGAGUUCUGAACAGAAGUAACUCCACCAAUAAUUGCAUCAACCCUCUUGGCUUUGGCUUUGGCUUUGGCUUUGGCAUAUAUAUGUUGAACAUUGUUUGUGUGGCAGUUUUAAAGCUUUCCAUAUUUAACAAAGUUUGAAACAAGAGAAGAAAAAGGCAGCUAAGGGCCAUGCAGUUGUUGUCAUUAGUUGCAUAUUACAUAUUUUUCAAUGCUUCGAAGGUUGCUUAUUUUGUAUUCUUGGUGCUCCUUGUAGCUUUUAAUCUCAUCAUACUCGCGGAUAAUAUGCGACAUUUGGAGACGCUUGGAGCUCUGAUUUGCAAGGAUGAGGUUCAAAAUUGUGUGUUUUUCCGGUUUGAAGCCUCUCACGAUCAAUCUCUUCACUACUACAGCCUCAACUACAAUGCUUCUGUUUGUUAACUUCUCUUGCAAAUACAUAUAAAUUUGGCCAAACUUCUUUUAGUUUCCUUUUCUUUUUGGAAUUUUCUCCUUUUGAGUGUCAUGCUUGGAUUGUGUAUAUUACUGUUUACCUAAGAUGAAUAUGAGUACAGCAAGGUUUCUUUUA